GACGAAUGCUGGCGGCGUGCUUAACACAUGCAAGUCGAACGGAAAGGCCCUGCUUUUGUGGGGUGCUCGAGUGGCGAACGGGUGAGUAACACGUGAGUAACCUGCCCUUGACUUUGGGAUAACUUCAGGAAACUGGGGCUAAUACCGGAUAGGAGCUCCUGCUGCAUGGUGGGGGUUGGAAAGUUUCGGCGGUUGGGGAUGGACUCGCGGCUUAUCAGCUUGUUGGUGGGGUAGUGGCUUACCAAGGCUUUGACGGGUAGCCGGCCUGAGAGGGUGACCGGCCACAUUGGGACUGAGAUACGGCCCAGACUCCUACGGGAGGCAGCAGUGGGGAAUAUUGCACAAUGGGCGGAAGCCUGAUGCAGCAACGCCGCGUGCGGGAUGACGGCCUACGGGUUGUAAACCGCUUUCGCCUGUGACGAAGCGUGAGUGACGGUAAUGGGUAAAGAAGCACCGGCUAACUACGUG
rnacentral:rRNA from 1 species